rnacentral:rRNA from 1 species
UACGGAGGGUGCAAGCGUUAAUCGGAAUUACUGGGCGUAAAGCGUGCGCAGGCGGUUUUGUAAGUACAGGCGUGAAAUCCCCGGGCUCAACCUGGGAAUGGCGCUUGUGACUGCAAAGCUGGAGUGCGGCAGAGGGGGAUGGAAUUCCGCGUGUAGCAGUGAAAUGCGUAGAUAUGCGGAGGAACACCGAUGGCGAAGGCAAUCCCCUGGGCCUGCACUGACGCUCAUGCACGAAAGCGUGGGGAGCAAACAGG